rnacentral:rRNA from 1 species
UACGGAAGGCAGCAGUGGGGAAUAUUGCACAAUGGGCGCAAGCCUGAUGCAGCCAUGCCGCGUGUAUGAAGAAGGCCUUCGGGUUGUAAAGUACUUUCAGCGGGGAGGAAGGCGAUGCGGUUAAUAACCGCGUCGAUUGACGUUACCCGCAGAAGAAGCACCGGCUAACUCCGUGCCAGCAGCCGCGGUAAUACGGAGGGUGCAAGCGUUAAUCGGAAUUACUGGGCGUAAAGCGCACGCAGGCGGUCUGUUAAGUCAGAUGUGAAAUCCCCCGGGCUUAACCUGGGAACUGCAUUUUGAAACUGGCAGGCUUGAGUCUUGUAGAGGGGGUAGAAUUCCAGGUGUAGCGGUGAAAUGCGUAGAGAUCUGGAGGAAUACCGGUGGCGAAGGCGGCCCCUGGGACAAAGCUGACGCUCAGGGU